UUCUUGGUAGCUCAAUCGGAAGAGCAACUGGCUGUUAACCAGUUGGUUAUAGGUUCGAGUCCUGUUCAAGAAG
rnacentral:tRNA from 1 species